AUUUGAGAGUUUGAUCCUGGCUCAGGACGAACGCUGGCGGCGUGCCUAAUACAUGCAAGUUGAGCGCUGAAGGUUGGUACUGUACCGACUGGAUGAGCAGCGAACGGGUGAGUAACGCGUGGGGAAUCUGCCUUUGAGCGGGGGACAACAUUUGGAAACGAAUGCUAAUACCGCAUAAAAACUUUAAACACAAGUUUUAAGUUUGAAAGAUGCAAUUGCAUCACUCAAAGAUGAUCCCGCGUUGUAUUAGCUAGUUGGUGAGGUAAAGGCUCACCAAGGCGAUGAUACAUAGCCGACCUGAGAGGGUGAUCGGCCACAUUGGGACUGAGACACGGCCCAAAUCCUACGGGAGGCAGCAGUAGGGAAUCUUCGGCAAUGGACGAAAGUCUGACCGAGCAACGCCGCGUGAGUGAAGAAGGUUUUCGGAUCGUAAAACUCUGUUGGUAGAGAAGAACGUUGGUGAGAGUGGAAAGCUCAUCAAGUGACGGUAACUACCCAGAAAGGGACGGCUAACUACGUGCCAGCAGCCGCGGUAAUACGUAGGUCCCGAGCGUUGUCCGGAUUUAUUGGGCGUAAAGCGAGCGCAGGUGGUUUAUUAAGUCUGGUGUAAAAGGCAGUGGCUCAACCAUUGUAUGCAUUGGAAACUGGUAGACUUGAGUGCAGGAGAGGAGAGUGGAAUUCCAUGUGUAGCGGUGAAAUGCGUAGAUAUAUGGAGGAACACCGGUGGCGAAAGCGGCUCUCUGGCCUGUAACUGACACUGAGGCUCGAAAGCGUGGGAGCAAACAGGAUUAGAUACCCUGGUAGUCCACGCCGUAAACGAUGAGUGCUAGAUGUAGGGAGCUAUAAGUUCUCUGUAUCGCAGCUAACGCAAUAAGCACUCCGCCUGGGGAGUACGACCGCAAGGUUGAAACUCAAAGGAAUUGACGGGGGCCCGCACAAGCGGUGGAGCAUGUGGUUUAAUUCGAAGCAACGCGAAGAACCUUACAGGUCUUGACAUACUCGUGCUAUUCCUAGAGAUAGGAAGUUCCUUCGGGACACGGGAUACAGGUGGUGCAUGGUUGUCGUCAGCUCGUGUCGUGAGAUGUUGGGUUAAGUCCCGCAACGAGCGCAACCCCUAUUGUUAGUUGCCAUCAUUAAGUUGGGCACUCUAACGAGACUGCCGGUGAUAAACCGGAGGAAGGUGGGGAUGACGUCAAAUCACAUAGCCCCUUAUGACCUGGGCUACACACGUGCUACAAUGGAUGGUACAACGAGUCGCGAGACAGUGAUGUUUAGCUAAUCUCUUAAAACCAUUCUCAGUUCGGAUUGUAGGCUGCAACUCGCCCUACAUGAAGUCGGAAUCGCUAGUAAUCGCGGAUCAGCACGCCGCGGUGAAUACGUUCCCGGGCCUUGUACACACCGCCCGUCACACCACGGAGUUGGGAGUACCCGAAGUAGGUUGCCUAACCGCAAGGAGGGCGCUUCCUAAGGUAAGACCGAUGACUGGGUGAAGUCGUAACAAGGUAGCCGUAUCGGAAGGUGCGGCUGGAUCACCUCCUUU
rnacentral:rRNA from 1 species